ensembl:lncRNA
AAACUGGGAUAGACUACCUGAAACUGGGAUAGACUACCUGAACUGGGAUAGACUACCUGAAACUGGGAUAGACUACCUGAAACUGGGAUAGACUACCUGAAACUGGGAUAGACUACCUGAACUGGGACAAUAAGAAAUGCUUGUUUUACCAUGCAAAACGUAUUGCUACAGUGUGCCCUAAUGAAUGUCCCAGUAGUAGGCUACUGUAGUACAUCUCCAUAGACACUGUGAUCAAUAGCCUAGUCUUGCACUUAUGUUCAGCUUGGCAUAAACUGACACUGGCUUUUAAUGCUGGAUUCAUUCUGUUAUAUUUUACAAGAUCAUGGUCCUUGUGUGGCUCUGUUGGCAAGAGCGUGGUAGUAGACACACCGAAGUUGUCGGUUCAGUUCCUGCAGAGAUCAUAUACACAUGGUAAAAAAUGUCUGCUCUCAUUGUAAAGACUGGAGAAGAGGUGUCUGAUCUCACUGUAAAGACUGGAGAAGAAGUGUCUGAUCUCACUGUAAAGACUGGAGAAGAAGUGUCUGCUCUCACUGUAAAGACUGGAGAAGAGGUGUCUGAUCUCACUGUAAAGACUGGAGAAGAAGUGUCUGAUCUCACUGUAAAGACUGGAGAAGAAGUGUCUGCUCUCACUGUAAAGACUGGAGAAGAAGUGUCUGAUCUCAUUGUAAAGACUGGAGAAGAAGUGUCUGCUCUCACUGUAAAGACUGGAGAAGAGGUGUCUGAUCUCACUGUAAAGACUGGAGAAGAAGUGUCUGGUCUCACUGUAAAGACUGGAGAAGAAGUGUCUGAUCUCACUGUAAAGACUGGAGAAGAGGUGUCUGCUCUCACUGUAAAGACUGGAGAAGAAGUGUCUGAUCUCACUGUAAAGACUGGAGAAGAAGUGUCUGCUCUCACUGUAAAGACUGGAGAAGAAGUGUCUGAUCUCACUGUAAAGACUGGAGAAGAAGUGUCUGAUCUCAUUGUAAAGACUGGAGAAGAGGUGCUAUGUUAUGAUUAAAGACCAGCCAUCUUGUAAUCUCAGGCUUUUUAGGUCAAAUCACUGCAGUCCUCUUCAGUGGUGGAAAAAGUACUACAUUGUUAUACUCGAGGAAAAGUAAAGAUACCUUAAUAGAAAAUGACUCAAGUAAAAGUCACCCAGUAAAAUACUACAUUAGACUAAAGUCUAAAAGUAUUUGGUUUUAAAUAUACUUAAGUAUCAAAAGUAAAUGGAAAAGUGUUAACCAUUUCAAAUUCCUUAUAUUAAGCAAACCAGACAACACAAAACAUUUUUGGGGGGGAUGGAUAGCCAGGGGCCCACUCCGACACUCAGACAUCAUUUACAGAUAGCCAGGGGAACACUCCAACACUCAGACAUCAUUUACAAACGAAGCAUUUGUGUUUAGUGAGUCCGCCAGAUCAGAGGCAGUAAAGAGCAUCAGGGAUGUUCUCUGUUUAGUGAGUCCUCCAGAUCAGAGGCAGUAGGGAUGACCAGGGAUGUUCUCUGUUUAGUGAGUCCUCCAGAUCAGAGGCAGUAAAGAGCACCAGGGAUGUUCUCUGUUUAGUGAGUCCUCCAGAUCAGAGGCAGUAGGGAUGACCAGGGAUGUUCUCUGUUUAGUGAGUCCUCCAGAUCAGAGGCAGUAAAGAGCACCAGGGAUGUUCUCUGUUUAGUGAGUCCUCCAGAUCAGAGGCAGUAGGGAUGACCAGGGAUGUUCUCUGUUUAGUGAGUCCUCCAGAUCAGGGGCAGUAAAGAGCACCAGGGAUGUUCUCUUGACAAGUGUGAAUCGGACCAUUUUCCUGUCCUGCUAGUACUUUUGAGUGUCAGUGGAAAAUGUACAUUAUUUUCAUUUGCAAUGUCGUGAAGUAAAAAUUGCCAGAAAUAUAAAUCGUAAAGUAAAAAAUACAGAUACUACCAAAAAGUACUUUAAAGUAUUUUUUUCUACUGAAGUACUUUCCACCACUGGUCCUCUUGCAUAGACAGAAACAGACCCUCGGCUUUUGUAACGGAGACAAGAGAGAAGCUCACUCCACAGCUAGCUUAAAAACGGCACCAACGCUGCUAUCGAAUCGAAUCCUUGGCUAUAGGACUACCGGUUGGUACGUACCUCUGGUCCGAGAAAAGAGACGGUGGACAGUGGAAGAAGCGAAGCUGGUAGCGACCCACUGGUGUCAGUUUCACUGUGGAACAAUAAACACUUCUACGUACUGUAUGUUUACUCUGUUGUAGCGCAGAAAGGUUAAUGAAUUCAAUCUAUUGUUAAUGACAUUGCACUCGUGUAGUGUACAUUUUCUGUAUAAUUCUGCUCCGUCACUAUGAGUGAUUAUCACUGUGGCUAGGCAAUCAUUGAUUUCUGAUCGUCUAAUCAAUUUCAAUUCAAAAUCAAAUAAAAAAUGUUUAUUUUAAACUC